UAAAUAUAUAAUAUCUUCUACAUAUUCUCUAAUUAAUUAAAGAUAAUAUAUUAUAUAAAUAAAGUACUGUAAAGGAAAAAUCAAUUUUAAAAGUAGCUUUACACGUACCUUGUGCAUAAUGGAUUUACAAGAUAUCUUAUAAUAUAAACACCCGAAUUCUUUGGGAGCUGAAUAUAAACUGUUAAGAACUGAUAGAUAAAUGUUUCAAUAUUUUCUAUAGAUUUACAUUCAGAGGCUACAUACCUAUCGCACAAGAAUAUAGCUGGUUUCUAUAUAAUACUAUAUAUUAGAACAUCUAAAAUAGACUGUUAAUUAAUAAAAGAUAAGUUUUAUUAAUUAAUCAAUUUCCCCUUAAUUAAGUUAACAAAUUAGUAGGCCUAAUAUCAGCCACCUAAUAAUACUUUAUCGUAUAAAUUACUACCUAAAAUAAUUAAGCUAAAAUGAUAAACAUAUAUAGAUAAUAUAAUUCAACUUCAUAUUAAAAUAAAUAUGUAAAUAUAAGUAUUAAAUUAAAAAUAUAAAAGGAACUAGGCAAAAAUUAUUUCGACUGUUUAACAAAAACAUUUCCUUUAGCUUUAUUAUUAAAGGUAUACCCUGCCCAAUGAAAACUUUAAUGGCCGCGGUAUCCUAACCGUGCAAAGGUAGCAUAAUAAUUUGCCUAUUAAUUGUAGGCUAGAAUGAAAGGGUAAACGAAAUAAAUACUGUCUCUUAUAUUUAAAUAAAAAUUAUCUUACAGGUGAAGAGACCUGUAUAAAAUUAAAAGACAAGAAGACCCUAUUGAGCUUUACUUAAAAUAUAGAUAUACUAUAAUAUAGUUUGGUUGGGGCGACCUAGGAAUAUAAAACAUCCUAAAUUAUAUAAGAUUACUAGAUCAUAUAUUUGAUCCAACAUAUGAUCAAUAAAUUAAGCUACCUUAGGGAUAACAGGCUAAUAUUUUUCUAGAGUUCUUAUCAACAAAAAUGUUUGGCACCUCGAUGUUGGCUUAGGAAUCCAUUAUGGAGCAGAAAUCAUAAAUGGAGGUUUGUUCAACCUAUAAAAUCCUACAUGAGCUGAGUUCAGACCGGCGUAAGCCAGGUUAGAUUCUAUCUUUAAUAAAACCAAUUGCUUAUAGUACGAAAGGACCUAAGUAAUACUAAACAUUAGUAAUAAAAAAAAAUUUUUUUAUCUUCUAU
rnacentral:rRNA from 1 species